rnacentral:lncRNA from 1 species
AGCGCACUUUCAGCAGUCUGGUUGCCGAGGGUGAGCUCGCUGGCAGAGGAACUUGCGCCUUCCAACUCUUAGGUUUGUUGCGUUCGGGUCGCAGUCGACUUUAAUGGGAACCAAGCAAAGCACCCAAUGGCCCCUGCCAUCAGGUGCGUGGCAGUUAUCACAUGACGAUCGUCAGAACUCGCGAGGCGCGCAGAUUCAGCGAGUGCCAGUGUGGCUGGCUGUGAAGCGAACUUUGGGUUCGAGCUUCUGGUUCAGCUUGCAGCCUUUCUUGGGGUUCGAACCUCCUCCUGGUCCUUAAAGAAGAAUUCAGGUGCAGUAUUUUAUUACCCAGCUCGGCACCGCAGGUCCUGAGGACCCCCCAUUCACCCCUUGAAGGUCCUCACCAGAAGCUAACUGAAUGGCAACACCAUACCUUUGGAAUUCCCAGAAUCCAGAAUUGUAAGAAAUAA